rnacentral:lncRNA from 1 species
GAUUCCAAGAUUGAUGGUAAUGGACUUGGUGGAUUCCGUUGGGUCAGCAUUUUUUUUUUUUUUUUUUUUUGAUGUAAAGAUUGGGAGGUUAGUAACCACCUGGGAUUUAUUGAGAAGAGGUAAGAGGCAAAACUGUACAAGUGUUUGCUAACCUUGGUGGGGUAACUCCCUAAGAGAACAAAGGUCAGCCAUUAGAUAAGGAUAGUAUUUACAGGAAGCUAGGGAUUGUGGUGCUGAGAAGAUUUUUUUAGAUUCGGGGAUCCAUCUUUGACGAGGUCAGCAUUUGUAACAACCUAAGAUUUCAUCCAAAAAAAUUAACUAUCUAAGAUCUUUUCAAUAAAUAAUCGAUAUAGGAUUAUAUACAUGUCCGCACAGAUCCUCAUACAUUUGCUCUAUUGAAGUCUUGACAUCUUCACCAUACUAAGGGUCCAAAUCUAUGUAUCUCUUCAUAAGCACCACCAUCAGCCCAU